rnacentral:rRNA from 1 species
GGCCUUGGCCGGCAUGCUUUAACAUGCAGUCGAACGGUAACAGGGUGCUUGCACCGCUGACGAGUGGCGAACGGGUGAGUAAUGCAUCGGAAUGUACCGUGUAAUGGGGGAUAGCUCGGCGAAAGCCGGAUUAAUACCGCAUACGCCCUGAGGGGGAAAGUGGGGGACCGAAAGGCCUCACGUUAUACGAGCAGCCGAUGUCUGAUUAGCUAGUUGGUGGGGUAAAGGCUCACCAAGGCGACGAUCAGUAGCGGGUCUGAGAGGAUGAUCCGCCACACUGGGACUGAGACACGGCCCAGACUCCUACGGGAGGCAGCAGUGGGGAAUUUUGGACAAUGGGCGCAAGCCUGAUCCAGCCAUGCCGCGUGUCUGAAGAAGGCCUUCGGGUUGUAAAGGACUUUUGUCCGGGAGCAAAUCCCAGUGGUUAACACCUACUGGGGCUGAGAGUACCGGAAGAAUAAGCACCGGCUAACUACGUGCCAGCAGCCGCGGUAAUACGUAGGGUGCAAGCGUUAAUCGGAAUUACUGGGCGUAAAGCGUGCGCAGGCGGUUGUGCAAGUCUGAUGUGAAAGCCCCGGGCUUAACCUGGGAACGGCAUUGGAGACUGCACGACUAGAGUGCGUCAGAGGGGGGUAGAAUUCCGCGUGUAGCAGUGAAAUGCGUAGAGAUGCGGAGGAAUACCGAUGGCGAAGGCAGCCCCCUGGGAUGACACUGACGCUCAUGCACGAAAGCGUGGGGAGCAAACAGGGAUUAGAUACCCUGGUAGUCCACGCCCUAAACGAUGUCAACUAGCUGUUGGGGGUUUGAAUCCUUGGUAGCGAAGCUAACGCGAGAAGUUGACCGCCUGGGGAGUACGGCCGCAAGGUUAAAACUCAAAGGAAUUGACGGGGACCCGCACAAGCGGUGGAUGAUGUGGAUUAAUUCGAUGCAACGCGAAAAACCUUACCUGGUCUUGACAUGUAACGAACGCUGCAGAGAUGUGGUGGUGCCCGAAAGGGAGCGUUAACACAGGUGCUGCAUGGCCUGUCGUCAGCUCGUGUCGUGAGAUGUUGGUUAAGGUCCCGCAACGAGCGCAACCUCUUGCCAUUAAGCUGCCAUCAUAAGGUUGGGCACCUCUAUGGGAACUGCCGGUGAACAAACCGGAGAAGGUGGGA